rnacentral:lncRNA from 1 species
AGACGUUGAUAUGCAACGACUGCACCAUCAAGUGGCCCAUGCGACACCAAGCCAAAGCCUGUUACGCGAGGAACCCAGCAGAACGCAGCCCUCCUCCCGCCCAAAAAAACAAUGAAUGCAAAAUGGAUCCAUGCAGGAGAUUGCUUUUAGUGGGAUUGGCGGCUCUUGCAUGAUCGGAGGAGGAGGAGAAUCAACAAAAUAAGCGCCGACAGCUUUGAUAAAACCCAUAUCUGCAGGAAAGAAACCAGAACGGUCGUUUGUCUAUACAUUUGAGUAUUAUAACUCAUAUAAAUAUGUGUACAUUAAUGGAAACCCAUGAAACGAUACCCUUUGCAUAUUCCGCAGUUUGAAAAUAUGACAGAGAAUUUGCAUAUGGCUGGGAAUAACAUCUGCAGACUUCUUUAAUUGGUGAAGCAGCAAGGCCGUGACAAGGAAUAUUUGCGCCCGUUGCAAAGUUGUAAAACGGCGCCUCCAAGCACCCUUCCUAUUCAACAUUGGCUAGUUUCGAGCCCAGAUUGUCGCCAUCGCCCCUUGGCACGACCCUGUGGAGCAGUACUUGGUCCAAAGAGGAAAAAAACUUAAAACAUUUUGUUAACAGCCCAGCCGGGUCUGUGUCUUGGCGACAUGAAGAUACUGGCGUUCAAAUAAGUUAAACAAAUUAAAAAUGCAAAUAAAUUCAAUAUAAUCUCAUUAAUCUAUAAUAAUUGUUUCCCUUUUAGCCGUUUGAAGACCUUAAGCUCGUUUAGAAGCACGGUGGUAAUUUAUCUUUCAACUUCAGUGGCAUUGUUGCCUCCAUUUGAUUGAGA